rnacentral:misc_RNA from 1 species
AAAAAGAUGAACUUUUUCAAAUGAAUAUAAAGAAAGAAAGAAAGUCGAAUAGUCCUUCUAGGUAAAGCAACGGAUCAAAAACAGAAAAACCAAAUUCCAAAGAAAGAAUGAACUAAAAAGGGUGUUUUGAAUAUACAAUCACUUUCAAAACCGCUCAAACGAUGUCGCUCCCUCUUCAAAAAAAAUCUUUCAAGAAACCAAAAUAAACAGACCUCUACAUACACUUCCUGUAUGUAUAUAUAUAGUAUUAAAGAUAGAAGAAAGUUGUUUUAAU